rnacentral:rRNA from 2 species
GGGGGAUAUUGCGCAAUGGGGGCAACCCUGACGCAGCAACGCCGCGUGAAGGAUGAAGGUUUUCGGAUUGUAAACUUCUUUUAUUAAGGACGAAACUUGACGGUACUUAAUGAAUAAGCUCCGGCUAACUACGUGCCAGCAGCCGCGGUAAUACGUAGGGAGCAAGCGUUGUCCGGAUUUACUGGGUGUAAAGGGUGCGUAGGCGGCUUUGCAAGUCAGAUGUGAAAUCUAUGGGCUCAACCCAUAAACUGCAUUUGAAACUGUAGAGCUUGAGUGAAGUAGAGGCAGGCGGAAUUCCCCGUGUAGCGGUGAAAUGCGUAGAGAUGGGGAGGAACACCAGUGGCGAAGGCGGCCUGCUGGGCUUUAACUGACGCUGAGGCACGAAAGCGUGGGUAGCAAACAGGAUUAGAUACCCUGGUAGUCCACGCUGUAAACGAUGAUUACUAGGUGUGGGGGGUCUGACCCCUUCCGUGCCGGAGUUAACACAAUAAGUAAUCCACCUGGGGAGUACGGCCGCAAGGUUGAAACUCAAAGGAAUUGACGGGGGCCCGCACAAGCAGUGGAGUAUGUGGUUUAAUUCGAAGCAACGCGAAGAACCUUACCAGGUCUUGACAUCCAACUAACGAAGUAGAGAUACAUUAGGUGCCCUUCGGGGAAAGUUGAGACAGGUGGUGCAUGGUUGUCGUCAGCUCGUGUCGUGAGAUGUUGGGUUAAGUCCCGCAACGAGCGCAACCCUUGCUAUUAGUUGCUACGCAAGAGCACUCCAAUAGGACUGCCGUUGACAAAACGGAGGAAGGUGGGGACGACGUCAAAUCAUCAUGCCCCUUAUGACCUGGGCUACACACGUACUACAAUGGAUGUUAACAGAGGGAAGCAAGACAGCGAUGUGGAGCAAACCCCUAAAAACAUUCUCAGUUCAGAUUGCAGGCUGCAACCCGCCUGCAUGAAGAUGGAAUUGCUAGUAAUCGCGGAUCAGCAUGCCGCGGUGAAUACGUUCCCG